AACGCUAGCUACAGGCUUAACACAUGCAAGUCGAGGGGAAACGACAUCGAAAGCUUGCUUUUGGUGGGCGUCGACCGGCGCACGGGUGAGUAACGCGUAUCCAACCUGCCCACCACUUGGGGAUAACCUUGCGAAAGUAAGACUAAUACCCAAUGAUAUCCCACGAAGGCAUCCGAAUGGGAUUAAAGAUUUAUCGGUGAUGGAUGGGGAUGCGUCUGAUUAGCUUGUUGGCGGGGUAACGGCCCACCAAGGCAACGAUCAGUAGGGGUUCUGAGAGGAAGGUCCCCCACAUUGGAACUGAGACACGGUCCAAACUCCUACGGGAGGCAGCAGUGAGGAAUAUUGGUCAAUGGGCGAGAGCCUGAACCAGCCAAGUAGCGUGCAGGACGACGGCCCUAUGGGUUGUAAACUGCUUUUAUAAGGGAAUAAAGUGGGUCACGUGUGACUUUUUGCAUGUACCUUAUGAAUAAGGACCGGCUAAUUCCGUGCCAGCAGCCGCGGUAAUACGGAAGGUCCGGGCGUUAUCCGGAUUUAUUGGGUUUAAAGGGAGCGUAGGCCGGAGAUUAAGCGUGUUGUGAAAUGUAGACGCUCAACGUCUGCACUGCAGCGCGAACUGGUUUCCUUGAGUACGCACAAAGUGGGCGGAAUUCGUGGUGUAGCGGUGAAAUGCUUAGAUAUCACGAAGAACUCCGAUUG
rnacentral:rRNA from 1 species